GAGGACUUGAUGGGCCAAAUGGUUUGCUUCCACACUGUAGGGAUUCUAUGAUUCUAUGAAAUAUGACAAUUGCCUCUUGAUUUUUCAAUUGCUUUUCCAUCUAUGAAUUCGGUACUCGCACCAUUUUUGUGGCAGCGGGGUCACCACAAACCAGAAAGGGAACUGAACUAGCCAUAUAAAAUGCCACUAGAUUUUAAAGUAAAUCUACUACUAUAGGCUAAAACAUCUACAGUUAGUAACUUUCCUCUGCACACCAUCCAGAAAAAAAACAACCUGCUUGAUUGGCACCCCUUCCACCAAUUUCAGCAUUCAAUCCCUUCAAUACCGUGUCCAAUGCAAUAAUGUGUACUAUGUACAAGAUACACUACAAUAAUUCACCAAGGCCCCUUUGACAAGAACCUUACAACCAUAUCUUUUAUCAUCCAGAAGGACCCUGCACCUGCAAGUUCCCUGACAAAUGUCUGUGUCUUGACUUGGAAAUAUCACUGUUCCUUCUGUGGUGCUGGAUCAAAAUCUUGGAGCUCCCUUUUUUAAUAGCACUAUGUACUCCACCUCCUCCCACUCCCCAACCCCAAGUCUCCCCACAUACACUAGUUCAAGAGGAUAGCUCGUGACCAUCUCAGUGGCAAUUAAAGAUGGGCAAUAUGUACUGGCUGAGCUAGUGACAGUCAUAUCUGUGAACAAUUUUUUUCUUAAACUCAGCGUCAACUAAUUUGACUAUUUAUUUAUGUAUUGCAGACACAACUAUCUAGAAACCUGUAAUGGGUAUAAGGUUUUUUCACUUUAAUGCAACUUGCGUAAAAUUGUGUCGAUUGAAAGAAACAUGAGACUGAACGAGGUCACAGGAUAAAUAAAAAUGAUAAAAAUUGAAAUUAAAAGUCAGUUUUUGUAUUUGCAACAAUUAUAGCUGUCAAACUUGUACUAUUGGUGCAUACUCGGAUUUGAGUGCUGGGGAAUCAUGGGCAAUUUUGUGGUUGGCUCUUAUUGGAUGGACAAACCUAAAAGGUGAAGAUUUUUGAGUGUUGUAGUUACUGUGAAUCUAUUAUACCACAUAAUUCAGUUGUAUCAAUGCAUAAAUGCAGAAGAAACUAGACAUCAUUAAUGUUCUGCAUUGUAUAGUGCUUUGUAAGCAGCACAUGUUCUUAGCAUGACCAAGUGCCAUCAGGGUGAUUUUGACUGCUUCUGAAAAAUGAUCCUGCUUUGGCAUUUUUGCAAACUAUAUUCAAAUUCCUGCUAAUUUCUGAACUCUCUUGUGAUAAAUCAUACUUUGAGAAAUAUCCCUGAAGAUUGUCUGUGCUUUUCCUUCCUUUUUUAGGUGGUUAUUCAGCAGACCAUGCAGUCAUUAAAAUAUUCUGGAUUGUAGUGCAGAGUUUCACGAAUGACGAAAAGCGCAAGCUGCUGAAAUUUGUCACCAGUUGCUCUCGACCACCUCUGCUGGGAUUUAAGGAGCUGUACCCAGCGUUUUGUAUACACAAUGGAGGAACUGACCUGGAGCGAUUACCCACAGCCAGUACUUGCAUGAACCUUCUGAAACUUCCAGAAUUUUAUGAUGAAAAUCUUAUGAGGAGUAAAUUACUUUAUGCAAUUGAAUCAGCAGCAGGUUUUGAGCUAAGCUGAAGUAAAAAUGGGAUUGUUGACAGCUGAGAGAAUGAUGGAUAGUACAUAAUAUUAUGUACCAAUAAUCAAAGUUCUCAAAAUGGACUUAUACUGAAAUUGUGUAGAAUCAAAAAGAAGUUUUAAUGAAGUGCACUGCAAAGACAAGGCUCCUUUAAAUCAUCAUAUGUUUGUAGCUCAGAUGGAAAAAUAAUCAAUUGGGUACAAGUUGGGAGAUUUUACUGUUAAAAGUGGAUACUAAACAUUGGGCAAGAGGCCACUCGGUUGUGAUGAUCAGUUUAUUACUAUACAUCAACAACAGAAAAAUAAGCCUGUGUUAGGUGACAUUAACCAAAGAUUCAACAAAUGUGAUGUGUUGGUCAAAACAGGCAAUAAAGCAAGCCAUAAUAAUGGAAGACAGUUGCAUUUAAAAUAGGCUUUCCUCAUCAGAAGCCGAUCUUUUAUAAGGCAAAAUGUGGCUUUUUUUUAAACUUCAUACUGGUUUCUUGCAUUUAACAUCAUGGUUAGGUGGAAGCACAUAGACCACGUAAUAUUGCUGCAUUUUACGUUUCUUUUUAAAAGUUGCACAUUUCUUAAAUCUUUGUUUUAAAUCACAAUUAUGUCCCAGCAUGGAACUCAGUAAAACAUAGUUGCAAUUUAAAGCCUAGAUUAAAAUUGUAUGGUGUGACAUUAUGUGCUAAUGAUUAUAUGGCCCUUCUGCAUAACUGGUGUGAAUUCUGAAUAAGAAGCAUUGAGUGGAUGAAAUAUUAUGUGGACAAGAGAUUACUUUUCUUGAUCGCGAUAGGUUUCAGCUUGCUCAUAAAAAUUGCUUCAUUAGGCCAUGGUAAAUGUUUUUGAGACCGGGAUUUAGUCAGCAGUUUCUGUAAACAGAAAUGUUAAUAAGUAUAUGUUUUCUCUGCAUCUGUGAAUACUAUGUUUUUGUUCCGUAAUCUGUACAGUUUUUCCUUGUGCAUUAAUCUUCUGUGGUAUCAGAAUGGUCCUUACUGUUAAAUGAGCUAAGUUUAACAGCUAUUAAACAAAACUUGAAUAA